AUCAAGCUGACGAGUCCCAAAUAGGAAGAAACGCGUGUCUUGGAU
rnacentral:hammerhead_ribozyme from 1 species